AGAGUUUGAUCAUGGCUCAGAACGAACGCUGGCGGCAUGCCUAACACAUGCAAGUCGAACGAGACCUUCGGGUCUAGUGGCGCACGGGUGCGUAACACGUGGGAAUCUGCCCAGGGGUAUGGAAUAACUCAGGGAAACUUGAGCUAAUGCCAUAUGAUGCCGCAAGGCCAAAGAUUUAUCGCCCUUGGAUGAGCCCGCGUAGGAUUAGCUAGUUGGUGGGGUAAAGGCCUACCAAGGCUACGAUCCUUAGCUGGUCUGAGAGGAUGAUCAGCCACACUGGGACUGAGACACGGCCCAGACUCCUACGGGAGGCAGCAGUGGGGAAUAUUGGACAAUGGGCGAAAGCCUGAUCCAGCAAUGCCGCGUGAGUGAAGAAGGCCUUCGGGUUGUAAAGCUCUUUUACCCGGGACGAUAAUGACGGUACCGGGAGAAUAAGCCCCGGCUAACUCCGUGCCAGCCGCCGCGGUAAUUC
rnacentral:rRNA from 1 species